AUGCCGGCCCAACAUGGCGGCCUUCUCUCCCCAGCCCACCAGCAGCACCUGAGGAGGAUGCUGGGAGAGCUGAGGGUGCACAAUGCGCAUGCUCCUGAGCCCAAAUCUCGGGAGCCCGCUGGAAUCUCACGGAGUCUGCACGGUGGCCGCCUGGGCUCAGUGGGCGGGGACUUCGCAGGAGAAGCAGCCGAGGGAAGAGCCGCAAGAUGGGUACGAGGGAUGGAGGGGUCCUGUGGGCGGUUAUGGGUGGCCUGCUGCGCUGAAAUCUUAAGAAUGUCCAAUGUAACAAGAAAUGCAACAGAAGUAAGUAGUCUAAGGAUGCCUGGCUGGCUCACUAGGAAGAACAUGGGACUCUUGAUCUUGGGUUUGUAAGUUUGAGCCCCACGUUUGGCGUAGAGAUUACUUACAAAUAAAAUCUUAAAAAAGAAAAAGAAGAUGAAUAAG
rnacentral:lncRNA from 1 species